rnacentral:rRNA from 1 species
CCUACGGGUGGCAGCAGUGAGGAAUAUUGGUCAAUGGACGAGAGUCUGAACCAGCCAAGUAGCGUGAAGGAUGACUGCCCUAUGGGUUGUAAACUUCUUUUAUAUGGGAAUAAAACGUUCCCCGUGUGGGAUUUUGUAUGUACCAUCUAACUAAGGAUCGGCUAACUCCGUGCCAGCAGCCGCGGUAUUACGGAGGAUCCGAGCGUUGUCCGGAUUUAUUGGGUUGAAAGGGAGCGUAGGUGGAUUGUUAAGUCAGUUGUGAAAGUUUGCGGAUCAACCGUAAAAUUGCAGUUGAAACUGGCAGUCUUGAGUACAGGAGAGGUGGGCGGAAUUCGUGGUGUAGCGGUGAAAUGCUUAGAUAUCACGAAGAACUCCGAUUGCGAAGGCAGUUCACUGGACUGCAACUGACACUGAGGCUCGAAAGUGUGGGUAUCAAACAGGAUUAGAUACCCGAGUAGUC